UACUAUUAGACUUGAGACCGGGAGAGGUUAGAGGUACUCCCAGGGUAGAGGUGAAAUUCUGUAAUCCUGGGAGGACCGCCUGUUGCGAAGGCGUCUAACUGGAACGGUUCUGACGGUGAGGGACGAAAGUUAGGGGCGCGAACCGGAUUAGAUACCCGGGUAGUCCUAACUGUAAACGAUGCGGACUUGGUGUUGGGGUGGCUUUGAGCUGCUCCAGUGCCGAAGGGAAGCUGUUAAGUCCGCCGCCUGGGAAGUACGGUCGCAAGACUGAAACUUAAGGAAUUGGCGGGGGAGCACCACAACGCGUGGAGCCUGCCGGUUUAAUUGGAUUCAACGCCGGACAUCUCACCAGAGGCGACAGCUGUAUGAUAGCCAGGUUGAUGACUUUGCUUGACUAGCUGAGUAGAGGUGCAUGG
rnacentral:rRNA from 1 species